AGUUUAACACACUUAACCAACCCCGCUCAUGUGAGGUAGGUCCUCUUGUUGGAGUUUUAUGGUGACUGUGGUUGCUUAAGCUAGACAGAUCCCCUUCACCAAAGCGGGUUGCAUUACCCGACAAGUGUGCAACCCAAUUGGUACCUCUGAGUUUACUCUAGCGGGGGCGGUGGCUCAUCGCUUUAUUUGAACACACAUGCGCCUUUAUGUGCAUAUAUGAACGUCGUGGUUGUAAUCAUUCGAUUGGAACAAGCCACGUUAAAUAAGUACAGAGAGAUCUGUUACAGUAUACCCUAUUAUAGUAUACUCUACAAGUAACGUAGGUAAAGUAAAGUUAAGUAAAAACAGUACGUGUGCGGUGGUCGGCAAAAGCGCCGCUCUCUGGCUUUUAAACAUAAAUGCGACAGAGCCAGCUCCAAAAGUCGUCUUCAAAAAUCGUAUUCUUUGCUUUAAACCUUAUGAUUUACUUUUUUUGAAUUGGAAACACACAAAGCUUCACAACAAACUGGCCUCGAACGCUUUGGCUAGCAAUCGAUCAAAAAGGUAUUCAUCUACUGGAACAUCGCUCAAGAAAUGUAUUAUGUACCUACGGAUACGAUUCUAUUAUAUCAUUUUCUCCAAACUUGAAUUCCCUAAUGAUAUUUACUGGAACGGAAAAAAAACAAUCUAAGGUGAUUUUAACCACAUCGCAGGUAAGAAAGUAUUAAUCUCUUUUGUGCAAUCUUCGUAAAGUUUUUUCCGUAAAUUUCAUGAAUAAAAGCCAUUUAAAUAUUUAAGAUAUCAAGAUGUCAUUAAAA
rnacentral:sRNA from 1 species